rnacentral:rRNA from 13 species
UGCGCUGACGAGUAGGCAGGCGUGGAGGUUGUAUCGAAGCCUAGGCAGUGAUGCUGGGUGGAACAGCCUCUAGUGCAGAUCUUGGUGGUAGUAGCAAAUAUUCAAGUGAGAACCUUGAAGACUGAAGUGGGGAAGGGUUCCAUGGUAACAGCAGUUGGACAUGGGUGAGUCGGUCCUAAGAGAUAGGGGAACUCCGUUUCAAAGUGUGCGCUUGUUCGCACGGCCUAUCGAAAGGGAAUACGGUUAAAAUUCCGUAACCGCAAUGUAGAUUCUGAACGGCAACGUAAAUGAACUUGGAGACGCCGGUGUGGGCCCUGGGAAGAGUUAUCUUUUCUCCUUUACAGCUUAUAACCCUGGAAUCGGAUUAUCCGGAGAUAGGGUCUAAUGGCUGGUAGAGCAUUGCUAUUUUGUAAUGUCCGGUGCGUCCACAACGGCCCUUGAAAAUCCGAGGGAAUGAAAAAGUCUUACAUGCGAUCGUACCCAUAUCCGCAUCAGGUCCCCAAGGUGAUCAGCCUCUAGUCCAUAGAAUAAUGUAGAUAAGGGAAGUCGGC